rnacentral:rRNA from 1 species
UAAUACGGAGGGUGCGAGCGUUGUUCGGAAUCACUGGGCGUAAAGGGCGUGUAGGCGGUCCGCUAAGUCUGAUGUGAAAGCCCGGGGCUCACCCCCGGAAGGGCAUUGGAAACUGGCGGACUCGAGUCCCGGAGAGGAAGGUGGAAUUCCUGGUGUAGCGGUGAAAUGCGUAGAUAUCAGGAGGAAUACCGGUGGCGAAGGCGGCCUUCUGGACGGUGACUGACGCUGAGACGCGAAAGCGUGGGGAGCAAACAGGAUUAGAUACCCUGGUAGUCCACGCUGUAAACGAUGAGCACUAGGUGUCGUGGGUAUUGACCCCCGCGGUGCCGACGCUAACGCAUUAAGUGCUCCGCCUGGGGACUACGGCCGCAAGGUUA